UUUGCUAUCAUCUCCUCUUCCUCCUCCCCUUUCCUCUUCCUUCUCUCAAGCCAUUCUCUCUUUCUUUCUCUCUCUCUCUCUCCCCCUCCCCCUUCAGGAGACUAGACAGUUUUGAAAGAGAACCAACCGACCUCCUCAUCAACACACCCCAUCUUCCGGACACUCUAACAAAAAGUCCUUCCGUAAUCGGAAAUGAAAUCCAGCCGUGAGUAGGUGAACAGCGGGGGCGGGAGUGUGAACUGGUACAGCCACGUGGGAGGCAGUUUCUGGGAAAGUCAGUGAGUGCAGCCUUGCUAGGACCCAGCGGCACCCACACUGAGGGACACAUUGCAGAGAAACCUGCCCAUGCGCACGGGGGCAAGUGUGAGAAUGUCCACAGCGGCUGAAGCAGUCAUCUCGGUGGUGGGACUCGCAGAAGCAGCCAUUUCUACCUGGAAGAGUCAUUUCCUAGACUUUCUACAAUAGGCAUCGGUGGCUUUUAUCAUCAGAAGAGAAAAGUCAAAGAAACAAGUUCCAGUGGAAGCUGUCUCUUUCUUCCCUCUUCUUGCAAGAAUAAAUCAUCUUAGGAUAACAAUUAGGAACUAAAUGUGCAAGAGGGAACUGGUGUCUGGUGUGUAACAAACAAAAAUGUAGCACAUUGUGAAUCUGUAAGAACCCAGAACUCGGUCCUCAUGGUCUGGUUUGGAGUGGGUUGGAUUGGUUGUCAAUUUAAUUGCUCCUAACUGGGCUAUCACUUUGCAAACAAACAAAACAAAAUAAAAAAUUACUUCAUAUUUAA